AAGGCUGAAAUUACGCCCUCCACUGAAGCUGGAAUUGCUAGUAAUGGCAGGUCAGCAUACUGCCGUGAAUACGUUCCCGGGCCUUGUACACACCGCCCGUCACACCAUGAGAGUUGGGAAUACCCGAAGCCUGUGAGCUAACUUAUAGAGGCAGCAGUCGAAGGUAGAAUCAAUGAUUGGGGUGAAGUCGUAACAAGGUAUC
rnacentral:rRNA from 1 species